GUCAAUGCCUAGCAAGUGUCUCAAAACCAGAAUCCAAAUGCUCUCUACUAGAUCCAACAGGGACGCUGAAUGGAAAUGUAACAAGUCACGAAAACCCAGAACCAUGAACAUAUUAAGAAUCUAAAUGUUCAGUUCCUUCACCAUCCUAGGGAGGAGUAGAUACAGCUUAACAGAUACUGGACUGGAGAAGCCUAUGGUAGCCAGCAGUGUACAAGAAAGCCAUGCCAAGUAUCAGAUAGGGACUGAAGAUUAGAGUGUGCCGCUAAGGUGUACCAGUCUCCAAGAAAUACGACACCAGUCUUCAAGAAAGAAGACACCAUUCCUCAAGAAAAGGCGAUGCCAAAGAUAUGUAAAAAAAAAAAAAAAAAUUAUUUUUGUGUGGGUUUGUAAAGUA